rnacentral:rRNA from 1 species
UACAGAGGGGGCAAGCGUUGUUCGGAAUUACUGGGCGUAAAGGGCGCGUAGGCGGUCUUUUAAGUUCCGUGUGAAAUCCCUCGGCUCAACUGGGGAACGGCACGGGAAACUGGAAGGCUUGAGUUCGGGAGAGGGAAGCGGAAUUCCGGGUGUAGCGGUGAAAUGCGUAGAUAUCCGGAGGAACACCGGUGGCGAAGGCGGCUUCCUGGACCGACACUGACGCUGAGGCGCGAAAGCGUGGGGAGCAAACAGG